rnacentral:rRNA from 1 species
AGAGUUUGAUCCUGGCUCAGAAUCAACGCUGGCGGCGUGCCUAACACAUGCAAGUCGAGCGGGAAAGGGGGCUUCGGCCCCUGAGUAUAGCGGCGGACGGGUGAGUAACACGUGGGUAAUUUGCCCUUGGGUGUGGAAUAACUCAGGGAAACUUGAGCUAAUACCGCAUGACAUCCCCUUCACACACGAGUCGGGGAUCAAAGCCGGGGACCCUUCGGGGCCUGGCGCCUGAGGAAAAGCCCGCGCCCGAUUAGCUAGUUGGUGAGGUAAUGGCUCACCAAGGCUUCGAUCGGUAGCCGGCCUGAGAGGGCGGACGGCCACACUGGGACUGAGACACGGCCCAGACUCCUACGGGAGGCAGCAGUGGGGAAUUUUUGUCAAUGGGGGAAACCCUGAACAAGCAACGCCGCGUGAAGGACGAAGACCUUCGGGUUGUAAACUUCUGUCGGAGGGGACGAAAGCGAUCGAGGCUAAUAUCCUCGGCCGUUGACGGUACCCUACGAGAG